rnacentral:rRNA from 1 species
GGAUGAACGUUGGCGGUGUGCCUAAUACAUGCAAGUCGAACGGAGACUGUAGCAAUACUGUCUUAGUGGCGAACGGGUGAGUAACGCGUUGGUGAUCUGCCUCGAAGUGUGGAAUAACCUCCCGAAAGGGAAGCUAAUACCGCAUAGUCUCUCAAGGUUUAGAAAAUUGAGAGUAAAGGAUUUAUUCGCUUCGAGAGGAGCCUGCGUCCCAUCAGCUAGUUGGUAGGGUAACGGCCUACCAAGGCUAUGACGGGUAGGGGACCUGAGAGGGUGGCCCCCCACAAUGGAACUGAAACACGGUCCAUACACCUACGGGUGGCAGCAGUAGGGAAUAUUAGAAAUGGGCGGAAGCCUGAUCUAGCAACACCGCGUGUGCGAUGAAGGCCUUCGGGUCGUAAAGCGCUUUUCGGGGAGAUGAGGAAGGACAGUAUCCCCGGAAUAAGUCUCGGCUAACUACGUGCCAGCAGCCGCGGUAACACGUAGGAGGCAAGCGUUAUCCGAAUUUACUGGGCGUAAAGCGCGUGCAGGCGGUUCGGUAAGUUGGAUGUGAAAUCUCCCGGCUCAACUGGGAGAGGUCGUUCAAUACUGUCGGACUAGAGGAUGGUAGAGGGAGGUGGAAUUCCCGGUGUAGUGGUGAAAUGCGUAGAUAUCGGGAGGAACACCAGUGGCGAAGGCGGCCUCCUGGACCAUUCCUGACGCUCAGACGCGAAAGCUAGGGGAGCGAACGGGAUUAGACACCCCGGUAGUCCUAGCUGUAAACGAUGUGGACUUGGCGUUGGUGGGGUAAAAGCCAUCAGUGCCGGAGCUAACGCGGUAAGUCCACCGCCUGGGGACUACGGCCGCAAGGUUAAAACUCAAAGGAAUUGACGGGUCCCCGCACAAGCAGCGGAGCGUGUGGUUUAAUUCGAUGAUACACGAAAAACCUUACCCGGGUUUGACAUAUAAGUAGUAGGGAUCUGAAAAGUGACCGACCCUUCGGGGAGCUUAUACAGGUGCUGCAUGGCUGUCGUCAGCUCGUGCCGUGAGGUGUCCGGUUAAGUCCGGUAACGAGCGCAACCCCCACUGUAUGUUACAAGUGUCAUACGGAACUGCCGGUAUCAAGCCGGAGGAAGGUGGGGAUGACGUCAAGUCAGCAUGGCCUUUAUAUCCGGGGCUACACACACGCUACAAUGGCCAGUACAAUGGGUUUGCAAGACCGCGAGGUGGAGCCAAUCCUCAAAGCUGGUCUCAGUUCAGAUUGUAGGCUGCAACCCGCCUACAUGAAGUCGGAGUUGCUAGUAACCGCAGGCCAGCCAUACUGCGGUGAAUACGUUCUCGGGGAU